rnacentral:rRNA from 1 species
GUUUCAGCCGCCGCGGUAAUACGUAGGUGGCAAGCGUUGUCCGGAUUUACUGGGCGUAAAGGGCGUGCAGGCGGUUCGUUAAGUCUAGGGUGAAAGCUCCCGGCUCAACUGGGAGAGGUCCUUGGAUACUGGCGGACUUGAGGGGAGUAGAGGAGAGUGGAAUUCUCGGUGUAGUGGUGAUAUGCGUAGAUAUCGAGAGGAACACCAGUGGCGAAGGCGGCUCUCUGGGCUCUACCUGACGCUGAGACGCGAAAGCGUGGGGAGCGAACCGGAUUAGAAACCCGCGUAGUCC